UACAGAGGUCUCAAGCGUUGUUCGGAUUCAUUGGGCGUAAAGGGUGUGUAGGUGGCGCGCUAAGUCGGGUGUGAAAUUUCGGAGCUUAACUCCGAAACUGCAUUCGAUACUGGCGUGCUUGAGGACUGGAGAGGAGGACUGGAAUUCAUGGUGUAGCAGUGAAAUGCGUAGAGAUCAUGAGGAAGACCAGUGGCGAAGGCGGGUCUCUGGACAGUUCCUGACACUGAGACACGAAGGCCAGGGGAGCAAACGGG
rnacentral:rRNA from 1 species